rnacentral:rRNA from 1 species
GAUGAACGCUGGCGGCGUGCCUAAUACAUGCAAGUAGAACGCUGAAGGAAGGAGCUUGCUCUUUCCGGAUGAGUUGCGAACGGGUGAGUAACGCGUAGGUAACCUGCCUGGUAGCGGGGGAUAACUAUUGGAAACGAUAGCUAAUACCGCAUAACAGUAGAUGUUGCAUGAUAUCUACUUAAAAGGUGCAAUUGCACCACUACCAGAUGGACCUGCGUUGUAUUAGCUAGUUGGUGAGGUAACGGCUCACCAAGGCGACGAUACAUAGCCGACCUGAGAGGGUGAUCGGCCACACUGGGACUGAGACACGGCCCAGACUCCGACGGGAGGCAGCAGUAGGGAAUCUUCGGCAAUGGACGGAAGUCUGGCCGAGCAACGCCGCGUGAGUGAAGAAGGUUUUCGGAUCGUAAAGCUCUGUUGUAAGAGAAGAACGAGUGUGAGAGUGGAAAGUUCACACUGUGACGGUAUCUUACCAGAAAGGGACGGCUAACUACGUG